rnacentral:rRNA from 1 species
AGUGAACGCUGGCGGUAGGCCUAACACAUGCAAGUCGAACGGCAGCACAGAGGAGCUUGCUCCUUGGGUGGCGAGUGGCGGACGGGUGAGGAAUACAUCGGAAUCUACUCUGUCGUGGGGGAUAACGUAGGGAAACUUACGCUAAUACCGCAUACGACCUACGGGUGAAAGCAGGGGACCUUCGGACCUUGCGCGAUUGAACGAGCCGAUGUCGGAUUAGCUAGUUGGCGGGGUAAAGGCCCACCAAGGAGACGAUCCGUAGCUGGCCUGAGAGGAUGAUCAGCCACACUGGAACUGAGACACGGUCCAGACUCCUACGGGAGGCAGCAGUGGGGAAUAUUGGACAAUGGGCGCAAGCCUGAUCCAGCCAUACCGCGUGGGUGAAGAAGGCCUUCGGGUUGUAAAGCCCUUUUGUUGGGAAAGAAAUCCAUCUGGUUAAUACCCGGAUGGGAUGACGGUACCCAAAGAAUAAGCACCGGCUAACUUCGUGCCAGCCGCCGCGGUAA